rnacentral:rRNA from 1 species
UACGUAGGGGGCAAGCGUUGUCCGGAAUCAUUGGGCGUAAAGAGCGCGUAGGCGGUCCGGUAAGUCCGCUGUGAAAGUCAAGGGCUCAACCCUUGAAUGCCGGUGGAUACUGUCGGGCUAGAGUCCGGAAGAGGUGAGUGGAAUUCCUGGUGUAGCGGUGAAAUGCGCAGAUAUCAGGAGGAACACCAAUGGCGAAGGCAGCUCGCUGGGACGGUACUGACGCUGAGGCGCGAAAGCGUGGGGAGCAAACGGGG